GAUCCUGGCUCAGAUUGAACGCUGGCGGCAGGCCUAACACAUGCAAGUCGAACGGUAACAGGAAGAAGCUUGCUUCUUUGCUGACGAGUGGCGGACGGGUGAGUAAUGUCUGGGAAACUGCCUGAUGGAGGGGGGAUAACUACUGGAAACGGUAGCUAAUACCGCAUAACGUCGCAAGACCAAAGAGGGGGACCGUUCGGGCCGUCCUUGCCAUCGGAUGUGCCCACGAUGGGAGUUAGCUUGUUGGUGGGGUAACGG
rnacentral:rRNA from 1 species